rnacentral:rRNA from 1 species
AUUGAACGCUGGCGGCGUGCUUUACACAUGCAAGUCGGACGAGUGGCGAACGGGUGAGUAACGUAUCGGAACGUACCCAGUAAUGGGGGAUAACUGUCGGAAAGGAUAGCUAAUACCGCAUACUAUUCGAGCGGCCGAUGUGGGAUUAGCUGGUGGGCGGGGUAAAGGCUCACCAAGGCGACGAUCAGGAGCUGGUCUGAGAGGAUGAUCCGCCACACUGGAACUGAGACACGGCCCAGACUCCUACGGGAGGCAGCAGUGGGGAAUUUUGGACAAUGGGCACAAGCCUGAUACAGCCAUGCCGCGUGUCUGAAGAAGGCCUUCGGGUUGUAAAGGACUUUUGGCAGGGAAGCGUUACCUGAAGAAUAAGCACCGGCUAACUCCGUGCCAGCCGCCGCGGUAAUAC